CACGUAGGGCGCAAGCGUUGUCCGGAAUUAUUGGGCGUAAAGAGCUCGUAGGCGGUCUGUUGCGUCCGCUGUGAAAACUCGGGGCUCAACCCCGGGCGUGCAUCCGAUACUGCCGGGCUUGAGGCAGGUAGGGGAGAUCGGAAUUCCUGGUGUAGCGGUGAAAUGCGCAGAUAUCAGGAGGAACACCGGUGGCGAAGGCGGAUCUCUGGGCCUGUCCUGACGCUGAGGCGCGAAAGCUAGGGGAGCGAACAGG
rnacentral:rRNA from 1 species